CUUCGAUUGCAUCAGAAGGCUAAGUAGUCCUUGUUACGAAAUGCAUUGGGUCGUAGCCUGUGAAAACACCUACGUCAGGCGGGGUUCGUGCCGUGUAGUGAGCUGUCAUGAUUAUAAUCUUUAAUUACGAAUUCAACUGAAUUUAAGUAUCUAGAACUAUUACUCAGACAGCAAUUUAGCCUUCGCCCUUAAAUGUAUUCCAAAUAUGCGGCUGCUGGUUAUAACGUUACAGCUGUUAAUUAACUGCUGUUGCGUACGUGUGUAUGGCUUCGACUAACCGUGUUUUGUGCUCGUAAGAAAGACUUCUCAUUAAUAUUCUCUUUACCGAGUUUAUUGAGAAUAAUCCGAGCUACGCUCAUUUGCUAUACUGUAGGUACGGUGCGGCAAAGACAAGCGUAUAACGUGCCGCGGAGUCUGAAUAUAUUGUCAUGGAGAGAAUGUGUCCACCUAGCACAAAAUAUGCUAAUAACAUUAAUCAUCGGUACAGAAAUACAUUUAUAUUUUGCACGAUAUUGACACAAUUGCGUCCAUUCUGAAUAAUAUAUAUUUCAGAUGUAUAGGUCAGCCGGGGGAUGAAGUGGUGUUCGACACGAGUUGCACUUUUUUCCAUUUUCAUUGAAUAUGGCUAUUAAUUCACUCUAGUUUGUUUAACUUUACUUCUAUACCCCUAACUUCUGAUGUUGGGGUCAGCUGCCCAGAACUCAGCCACUCAUACUCAUGGAUGAUUAUCUGGUACAAUACAUAUAACGUGGUUGAGUAUCCCUCAACAGUUGUGAAAAAAUCACGUGAUCUACCACAAUCUUCUGCUGAGCAGGUUUAUCCUCAUAAUAUGAAGGUUACUCCUUUUCUCUGUUCCAUUUACUUUCCAUUUCUAGCUCACUUAAAUUAAAAGGCAUUUUAUAAUUCCCUUACUUGGUAAGCAGUAGGUACCAGAAUUCAAUCACAUCUCUUGGAUUGGGGAAUUGAUUCCUUCUCUGCAUGGAUGGAGUUUGCAUGUUCUCCUCAUGUCCAAUAGAUUUAUUCCCACAGUCCAAAGACAUGCAAUUAGGCUAACUGGCAUCUCGAAAUUCCCCAUACUGUUUGACUCUGCGUGUGUAUUUGCGUGAGUGUGCCCUGAAAUGGGCUGGCAUUCAGCCUUCUGUCCUGUUCUUACCUGACAUAGACAGCAUUUUGUUUAAGAUGAGUGGUUGGAACAUGGAUGAACUGAUGGACAUAGAAACUGAAAACGUCUUAGUGGCGUUUGCACAAUGAGUGCCGACGUUGAGGGUGAAAAUGCUCAGUGUUUGGUAGAUUUGGCCUGAAUCACAUUAUAACAAGCUCCCUUCGUCAUUUCAGAUCUUUCAUGGAGAAACCCAUGAUGUACUUUUUACCUUAUUAUGUUAGUAUAGAAUAAAGAAAGGUAGGCAGCCGGAUUAAUAUUACAGGAUUUCAAAAGGAUUCUUCCUGAAGCAUUUUCAUAAACUCACUCUUCCUCAUUCCUUUAAUGUAUUGUUCCAGUCAUGUCUUGUCAUGUUGGAGUAUUUGGCUUCUCGACAGAUAAAAUCCACUAGCACAUAAAAAUGUGAAAAUGUAACACUUCUGUAAUGGAUGGUCAGUUUUUAUGAUGUUCUUUUUUGGAUUAUUUGUACAGAAACAUUAGGUGAAACAUCACUGCUGGUAUCAAUAUAGUUUAAGACAAACAUGAACCACAACUGAGUGUGAUUUAUUCAGCAAAGUAGAUGAGUGUAUCAGAGUACAACACAGAUUUGGGUACAUGAAGAUUAGAUCUGAUUAGGAUCCGAUGGUCUUUCAGUUUGUUAUCUUUCCACCUGACUCCUUCAAACAGCCUUAUCUCAAGACAGUUGCUCUCCCAGACAGCAUCUUUACUGAGUGGGUGGAGCCUUUUGCAUGCGGUUGCCAAGAGGAUCUAACUGGGCUGGAAUGGAUUUGCAUUGUCAAAGGACUAUAUUCAAAGCUAGGAAAGGAGAGCAUAACCCUUGUUUUCCACCUCGCCUGCUAAUAAAUAUGCCUGAAAGGCACAGCCAUCAGUGGUGUGUCUGUCUGCGGGGAGAAUGUCGACCUCAGCAUGAGAUUCGGCAAAGACAGUGGUGUCCCUUCCUAUGAAGGCAGCAGACAGUUUGGAACAGCAUGGGGGGUCAUGAGGUUGCUGGAAAGGGGCUCGUGAUAUCUUUGCAAGAGGAUGAAAGUCCAAGUCUUUAGAGUCCUGGUGCUCCCUGUCUUGCUGUAUGGCUGUGAGACAUGGACGCUACCCAGUGAGCUGAGAUGAAGACUGGACUCCUUCGGUACUGUGUUUUCGGAGAAUCCUUGUGUACUGCUGGUUUGACUUUGUGUUGAAUGAGCGAUUGCUAGAGGAAUCCCGAAUGAGGCACAUUACUUGCAUUGUGAAGGAGCGUCAGUUACGGCACUACGACCAUGUGGCGCGUUUCUCUGAGGGUGAUCCGGCUCACAGGAUCCUCGUUACUUAGGACCCGAGCGGCUGGACCAGGCCGAAGGGACGCCCACGUAACACCUGAUUGCGGCAGAUGGAUGGUCACUUCCAGAGGGUGGGACUGGACUGUGUAUCUGCCUGGGGGGGUCGUCAGCCGGGAUCCCAAGGAGUUUUUCCACGUGGUGGGUGUGGCAACGCGAUACAUCAGUGCAUACUCCCCAACCUGACCUGACCUGACUUGAAAUUCUAUGAGCACAAUCAAAAUGUGUGGGGCAGGUUGUUGAGUGAAGCUCAGCUGCAACACCAACGCAAUCAGUGGGACUGUGGGCAGCGGUGGUGCCAAAGAAACAAAGAUAAGAGCAACAAGCACAGUAACCUCUCCACAUGCCCCCUCCCCAUUACCCAUCCAGUCCACUGACUUGAUUAGACUGUGUUGGCUCCGUGUUGUUUGAGGAAAUGUGGAAAGAAAGCAAAUCAAAUUAGGUUUAAAAAACUAAAGUGGAAGACCUUUGCUCAUGCUUCCAGCAUUAGUGUAGCAGUGGAUUCUGGGAAAAGUGGUGAUAAUGCCUUUGUGUUGCACAUACCUGACACAUGUCACAAAUGCAGCUAAUGAUUAAAUCCCCUGGGAGAAUUUUUCUAACUUUUCUCUGUUUAUGUACAUUACUGCCGUGAAAAAAUACCAACUGAAUUUUCAUGUUCUUGCAAAUGUAAAUAUAUGUGAGGCUUUUUUAAAUCAAGUUGCAAGAGAUUUGGUCAUUUUCCACAGAAUUUCAGUGGAGACCAGUCCUUCUUCUUCCUUCAGUGUCUGUUGUUCUAGCUGCCUGAUGCUCUGGAGAAUCACAAUUUCAUUUCAUUUUUAUGAAAUGAUAAUAAAGUGACAUGAAAUGAAAUGAAACUUUAACUUCUUCAGAAAAUCUAAUUACUGU